CCUACGGGAGGCAGCAGUGGGGAAUAUUGCGCAAUGGGCGAAAGCCUGACGCAGCGACGCCGCGUGAGGGAUGAAGGUCUUCGGAUCGUAAACCUCUGUCAGCAUGGAAGAACGGUCACUGUGCUAAUCAGCAGUGAAUUGACGGUAUCUGCAAAGGAAGCACCGGCUAACUCCGUGCCAGCAGCCGCGGUAAUACGGAGGGUGCGAGCGUUAAUCGGAAUUACUGGGCGUAAAGCGCUCGUAGGCGGUAUGUCAAGUCAAGGGUGAAAUCCCCGCGCUCAACGUGGGAACUGCCUUGGAAACUGGCAGACUGGAGUGUGUGAGAGGAUAGUGGAAUUCCAGGUGUAGGAGUGAAAUCCGUAGAUAUAUGGAGGAACAUCAGUGGCGAAGGCGACUAUCUGGCACAUAACUGACGCUGAGGAGCGAAAGCGUGGGUAGCAAACAGGAUUAGAUACCCCAGUAGUC
rnacentral:rRNA from 1 species